CAGCAGUGGGGAAUAUUGCACAAUGGGGGAAACCCUGAUGCAGCGACGCCGCGUGGAGGAAGAAGGUCUUCGGAUUGUAAACUCCUGUUGUUGAGGAAGAUAAUGACGGUACUCAACAAGGAAGUGACGGCUAACUACGUGCCAGCAGCCGCGGUAAAACGUAGGUCACAAGCGUUGUCCGGAAUUACUGGGUGUAAAGGGAGCGCAGGCGGGAAGACAAGUUGGAAGUGAAAUCCAUGGGCUCAACCCAUGAACUGCUUUCAAAACUGUUUUUCUUGAGUAGUGCAGAGGUAGGCGGAAUUCCCGGUGUAGCGGUGGAAUGCGUAGAUAUCGGGAGGAACACCAGUGGCGAAGGCGGCCUACUGGGCACCAACUGACGCUGAGGCUCGAAAGUGUGGGUAGCAAACAGGAUUAGAUACCCUGGUAGUCCACACCGUAAACGAUGAUUACUAGGUGUUGGAGGAUUGACCCCUUCAGUGCCGCAGUUAACACAAUAAGUAAUCCACCUGGGGAGUACGACCGCAAGGUUGAAACUCAAAGGAAUUGACGGGGGCCCGCACAAGCAGUGGAGUAUGUGGUUUAAUUCGACGCAACGCGAAGAACCUUACCAAGUCUUGACAUCCCUUGACGGACAUAGAAAUAUGUUUUCUCUUCGGAGCAAGGAGACAGGUGGUGCAUGGUUGUCGUCAGCUCGUGUCGUGAGAUGUUGGGUUAAGUCCCGCAACGAGCGCAACCCUUAUGGUCAGUUACUACGCAAGAGGACUCUGGCCAGACUGCCGUUGACAAAACGGAGGAAGGUGGGGAUGACGUCAAAUCAUCAUGCCCUUUAUGACUUGGGCUACACACGUACUACAAUGGCGUUAAACAAAGAGAAGCAAGACCGCGAGGUGGAGCAAAACUCAGAAACAACGUCCCAGUUCGGACUGCAGGCUGCAACUCGCCUGCACGAAGUCGGAAUUGCUAGUAAUCGUGGAUCAGCAUGCCACGGUGAAUACGUUCCCGGGCCUUGUACACACCGCCCGUCACACCAUGAGAGCCGGGGGGACCCGAAGUCGGUAGUCUAACCGCAAGGAGGACGCCGCCGAAGGUAAAACUGGUGAUUGGGGUGAAGUCGUAACAAGGUAGCCGUAGGAGAACCUGCGGCUG
rnacentral:rRNA from 1 species